GAUGAACGCUGGCGGCGUGCUUAGCACAUGCCAGUCGAACGAUGAAGCCCAGCUUGCUGGGUGGAUUAGUGGCGAACGGGUGAGUAACACGUGAGUAACCUGCCCUUGACUCUAGGAUAAGCCCGGGAAACUGGGUCUAAUACUGGAUAGGAACGUCUACCGCAUGGUGGGUGUUGGAAAGAAUUUCGGUCAUGGAUGGACUCGCGGCCUAUCAGCUUGUUGGUGAGGUAAUGGCUCACCAAGGCGACGACGGGUAGCCGGCCUGAGAGGGUGACCGGCCACACUGGGACUGAGACACGGCCCAGACUCCUACGGGAGGCAGCAGUGGGGAAUAUUGCACAAUGGGCGAAAGCCUGAUGCAGCGACGCCGCGUGAGGGAUGACGGCCUUCGGGUUGUAAACCUCUUUCAGUAGGGAAGAAGCGAAAGUGACGGUACCUGCAGAAGAAGCACCGGCUAACUACGUG
rnacentral:rRNA from 1 species